GACGAACCGUGCGAACGUUAUUCGGAAUCACUGGGCUUAAAGCGCGUGUAGGCGGGGAGGCACGUCCGACGUUGAAAUCCCCCGGCUCAACCGGGGAACUGGCGCGGAUACGACCUUCCUGGAGGGGCGUAGGGGGACCUGGAACUUCCGGUGGAGCGGUGAAAUGCGUUGAGAUCGGAAGGAACGCCCGUGGCGAAAGCGAGGUCCUGGACGCCUACUGACGCUGAGACGCGAAAGCCAGGGGAGCGAACGGG
rnacentral:rRNA from 1 species